GUCAGGACAGCCCACUAGUUGUGUGUAUGUAACCCCAUGCUAUUUAUGGGAGUGGACUGAGCUGGAGGUACUUGCUAGGUUGGUAUUUCUGCCAGCAGUCUGGACCAGCACAGUAGCCAAACCUAACAUCCCUUCCAAAGGUGGAAAAUAAAUGAUAAAUGGAGAGAAAGAGAAAUAGUAGCUGAGGUUGGAGAGAUCACAGUUAACCAGAACAGAGAGAGGCACCUGGAUGUCAAUAAGGGGUGCAGAGGUGAAAGAACGUUGCUGUGCUUUCUGCAAGUUCCCAGUCCAGUGGUGGAAAGACAAUUCCAGGAUUCUGUGACCCCAUGGCCAACUUCAGCGCCGAUGAGAUGUAACCGCACUGCUGGGUAUACUCAACCUCAGGGACAUGGAGCCAACCGCAGCCCCAUGAGUUCUGACUGAGCUUGAGGACUUUUGCCAAGAGAAAUUCCUAAGACUGAUUGAAUGCUCAAAUCUCAAGGCAGCCCUUCAAGAUUCCUGCCACUGAAGAUUAUGUUUGCAGACCAAUCAGCAAAAUGCAGAAUGAGAUUAUCCUGUUGGUGGUUUGGAUAAGGAAAAACACAUUCUUGACUGUGUAGAUGAAAGUUGAGAAAACAGUCGAGCAGGGUGUUUCCCAUCUGAAUUCUCUGGAUCCUAUAAUUAAGAAUACCUGGGACUUUUGGAAUGUUAGACAUAAGCGAACAGAUGCAAGCAUUUUGUGCAGUAGUGGGGGGAGCAUCCCACAUUUUUCCAAUUAUUUAGCAAAGCGUAGCUCUUGGCCUCUUUGUAUGAGCGUGAUAAUCAAAGCAGGCACUCUGCUCCUUUAUGCCAUUAGAGCAGUUGUCGAUGAGGACAUGCUAUCUGGUGCUAAGACAACGGCUGGCAUUUAGUUCCCAAGGAUCAAGGAGAAGGCAACCUAACCUGAACCUCCUGAUCUAAACAACCAGGACUGUUGUUUCCCAAAACCAGGGGCCCUCUUCCUAAAGUAAAGCCUACUGGGCCUCCUCCACCUGUGAAUUUGCCUUAAAGAAGGCUGUAGGACCGAAGUCUCCACCCCUAUGGGCAGCGUUAUUGAAUAGGCUUCUAAAAAGCAAGUCAAUGAAUAAAUAAAUGCUUAACACCAUCUAUUUGAAUUACAGGCAUAUCCACAUGUACAUAUUCAUCGUAUUGGAUCCCAUGUGCCCUGUUUGCCCUGUGUGUUCAUUUGGACAUGUGUGUGCUGUAUUUGUACAUCCAUGCCUGCAUGAAUCCAUGUAUCAGAUAUAAAAGCGAUUUGCCUGUGGAAGAAAGGCACAUGGAAGGCGGCCGGAGCAAAUCAGGAGAGCUGCCAGGGUCGAUCCUUUGCAUAGGCCUCAGCUCUCUCUGAGUCCUGCCUCAACUCCCCAUCGCCAAACCAGGUAGCACAUAGCCUCACCCUGAUUAUGGGCCCCUGUUGGGGUUCCCAUGGGAACACUAUUUUAUGGAGCCUUCACAUUUGCCAUUUACAGGUAAGAAAACAGAUGCAACGAGAAAUGAGAAAUUUUAUAGGUUGGGAUUUAAACACAGGAGUGUGUGUAUAUAUAUACACACACACACUUACACACACUCACACUCAUAGCUCUGAUAGUAUCACACUGUGCUCUAACAACACUGGUGCAUCUUUUUGGAUCCUCAAACAAGCCAGACCCUAAUGCUCCUCCACCCGCUUUUCAUGGGGCUCCUUCUCAUCUUGCUGACUUGAAUAUCACUAUUCAGAGAGGCCUUCCAUGACCAUAUUAUUCAGAUUCUCUUGUUUGCUUCCUCCAAAUUUAUCUUAAUUUGUAAUUAUCUUAGAUUCGUCUGUUUGGUCCAUUUGUGCACUGUUUGAACCUCUCUCUCCCAUGAGAAGGCAAGCUCCUGACAUCUGAGGUCCGGGCUCUCAUCUUCCUCUGUAGCCCCAGCCCCCGCACAGGAUGUUUAAUGCCUGGCUGCCCAGGAAACCCCACCUCACCAUCUCGCCCAGUCCGGGGCGCUCUCUAAUUGCUGCCCUGAUGGUCCUGUCUCUCUGCCUGUGUCAUUGCUGCUCUGUGGUCUGUCCCAUCUGUGUGUUGCUACUCAGUAAGAGAUGCUCUGAUACAAACUCCCUGGCUAAAGUGUUGCUGGGGAAUGGUGGUUUCAUUCCUUCAUUCCCUCCCUCCCUCACCCCUACAAAGUACUGAAAGCCUCUCCUGAGACAAGCACAGUGGGGGACAUGAAAGACACUGAUAUGAAUGGCGCAUGGUGUGUGCCUGUCCUCAAUAAGUUCACGGGCUGAUGGGGGAGAUGGACAGAGAGCAGACAAAGCACUCUGAUAGAUGCAGCCACAGGGUACUGUGUAGGCCUGAAGGAUGGUCUCCUAACCUGGUCAGCGUGGGCAGGGAAGGCUCCCUGGAGGAGGGGUGCCCAGGAGGAUCUUGAAGGAUGAGUAGGAGUUAGUCAGCUAAAGUGGGGCUGGCCUGGAGGGUAGAAUGCAGAGUGACUGGGGGAGGGAGCUCCAUGUGCAAAGGUGAUGUGGGGGCUAAGUGGUUUGGUGUGGUGUAUAAACUCAAGAGAGGGCCAGGGGCAAAGGAUGGUCCUGGGAAGGCAGCAUGCAUCCCGAGAUGGAUUAAGCAAUUUGGAAUUCAUCCUGAUCACUGUGGGAAUUCGCAGAAGGGUUUUAACAGGAGAGCGACAUGAUCAGAUUUGUUUUUAAAAAGAUCACUCUGGGGGCUGGCCAGGGGCCCCAGUGGUUAAGUUUGCAUGCUCCACUUCAGCAGCCCAGGGUUUCACUGGUUUGGAUCUUGGAUGCGGACAUGGCACCGCUCAUCAUGCCAUGCUGAGGCAGCGUGCCCCAUAGCACAACCAGAGACACUUGCAACUAGAAUACACAACUAUGUACUGGGGGGUUUUGGGGAGAAGAAGAAGGAGAAGAAAAAAAGAGGACUGGCAACAGAUGUUAGCUCAGGUGCCAAUCUUUAAAAAAAUAAAUACAUAAAAAUAUCACUCUGGUCCACAAGGUGGGAGGGCACUGACGGCUUGUCCAGUGCUCAUUCAUUAUUUCACUCAUUCGCCCACGCAACAAUCUUUAUUUCGUACCUACCAUAAGACAGGCACUGUGUAGGCACUGGGGGUGAACAACGAUGAGCAAAACAGAGUCUCUGACUCUUAAAUCUUCCAGUCUUGUGGGGAAGACAAAUAUGGCACCAGAAAUAAAUAGAGGAGUACAAGUUACGAUAAUGCCUCUGAAGGGGAAGGACAAGGAGAUGUGGGAGCAUUUGACAGGCUCCAGGAGGCUGCAAGGAGACAGGGGAGCUUGUGUUGACUCAGAGAGGAUAAGGUGUUCAUUGGCCCUGCAUAAUCUCCCAGUGGAAAGUUGUCUGGCUUUGAACAAAGGUGGUGGCAGUGGGGCAGUGGGCUUGAGGGCAGAAGGUAGGCUAGACAGAUCUUAGGGAGGUAGAAUCAAUAGGACUUGAAGACGUUGCCAGAGGGGACAGGGGAGAUGGGCGGAGGGGGAGAGAAACAAGUCGGGAAUGGUCCAGGUAUCUGGCCUGGGCACUCUGUGAGGGUGAUGCCAUCACUGGAAUGUCAAACACAGGAAGAGGCAAUGACUGGACUUGUCACAUCUUCUAAGCACUCCUCUUGCAGACUUCAUCUCAUACAGAUCUCGUCACAACCUUAUUUGGUAUCCCCCAUCUGUGGAGUGCCUACUAUCUGUCAAGUACUAUACUAAUUGCUUUGUGUCAAUCCUUAUAAUAGUCAAAUGAGGCAGGGGCUCUUCUCAUAUCAAGGUUCAGAGAGGCUAAGUAACAUUGUUGAGGCCAUACAGCUCAUCACUUACAGUGUCUGGAUUUGAACCCAUAUCUACCACUCUCUUGAGUGUGCGGCUGUCGCCACUCUGGCAUGCUGAGUGUGGGGUAUCUACAAGAUAUGUAUUGCCCCCUCACAUGAGCAUUUCAUUCAAACUGUCAGUGCCUUGACUCAGAAGCCAUCCUCUAGCGCUAACAUCUAAUAGCAGCUGAGCACUGGCGAGCUCUCUGUCAACCCUUUAUGGGCAUCAUUUGAUUAAACACUCAAGUUCUGGUUGAGCCAGUAGGAACUUGCUAAGGGUGAAAUGCAGCCGCUGCUGGAGAAGAAAGUGCAACUGUCCUACCAAUUCCCGGGCCAUGUGGGGAGUGCCAGCCCCUUCGGGAGGCCAUUGGCCUCCAGGAGUCCCCCAGGUGUGAGCAUAAUAGGGAAGGGACGGAGGCUCAUGUGUGCUAGGAGCCUCCGCGGCCCUCCAUUCGGCGUCUUACCUCUCCUCAUCCCCGCUGUCGUCUAGGAGUCCCUCUGAGGUUCUGGAGUCAUUUCACAGCUAAGGAAGCUCCAGCACAGACCAGCUAAGUUCUUAUUAAAGCUCUGUGACUAAUGAGUGCCUAGGAAGUGAGGAUUUGAAUCCAGGCCUGUCUGGCUCCCCUACACAACUGGAAAUGAUGUGGCAAGAGGGGUGGGAGGAACUAGGAGAGUUGAGUUUGGAAAGGAAGGUCAUGAGGCUUUUUGGGUGAAAGAGAAAGUAGAGGCCUCCCCGCUGAGACUCUAACAGGCAGAAUUAGGAGUAAGAGCAGAACGCAGAUUCAAUCAGCAAACGCUAACCCUGCCAUGUGCCAGGCCCUGUGCCUGGUGCUGGAAUAUCAGAAACGAAAACACUGUCCUUGGCCUCUUGCAGCUCACAGCCUGGGCGAACAGACGGACACGAGGCCAGGUGCUUCUUGCAGGGGCCCCAUGAGCUCAGUGCAGCAGCAGGCGAUGGACAGAGGGAAGAUGGCCCGAUUUCUCAUGACUGGGCAUGCCAGGGAGCACUGGGGACAGACCAUCUCCUUUGAACAGGGCUUCCGUGAACAAGGAGGGUCCUGACAGAUAGAGAGAGGGAGGAAGGCCAUUGUAGGGAGCAGGGACAGCAGGAGCGAGGACACCGAGGGAGGAGACCGUACAAGGCAUUUGGAAAGGGUGAGUGACUGCGCGUGUUUAGCAGGUGGAAUCCACUUGGAGAAAUGCCAGCCAUGAGCCUGAAAAUCUAGCCUGAAGUUGGACUGUGGGGGGCCUUGAACGUCAAGCUUCUUGAAGUAAGAGGUGUUUUGCUUUGGGCAAACUUGAAAGAGGAGCAACUAGAUUUACACAGAGAUGUUCACUGUUGACUGCAGCUCUUUAAGAUGGUGCUGAUAGGGUGACUGUGGCUGAAGUUCAAGGUCUGCUACUAGAAGAAAAAUCCCAACCCCCACCCAUCACAAAGAACUCACCUUGCUCUCUGGAUAUGCACAGCCCCGGUGCUGCAAUCUUAAACAGGAGCCUGAGGUGACAACCGUCCCAGAGGGAUUUGAUCGUAUCUCAGACCAGUGAGGACUGUCAGCUGAGUGAGGUGACAACUGAGUCAGGACGGGAAGGGGAACGUGGGGAAUCAGAUGUCGCAGGAGUGCCCUGGGAAUCCCAGCCCAUUUGGCCUUAGCCGGAUGUGACAGGAGUAAAAUGAAUGAUACCCCAACAUUUUCUUUUUGAUGACUAUCUUGCCUUGCGUAUUUAUGGAGAAACAAGCACUAACAUGUUUUGGCAUUUUUUCAAAUAUUUGACUCUUGAUUGCAAAAAACUGUAACAGGCCUCUUAACUUCUUAGUUAACUUCCUUAGUCAGGAAGAAUGGAGUUUGUUAGAAUUAUUAUUAUUUUUUACCAUCCCCUUCCAAUCUGACUCUAGUGUUUUUCAAAUAGUCGAAGAAAGACAAAAAAAUUAAAGAAAGGCAAUUGCUGGUCUUUAAAUUGAAGUGCAUGGAAGAAUGUCUUGGGAGAAACAGCAUUUAAGAGGUGAAAGAUUACCAUAUAUUUAAGUGUUUGAGCCCAUCCAUCUUUUAGGGCAGAAGUCUUUAAUCAGGACCAAUGAUUAUAGGGAUAACGUCAAGAUAAAAAUCAUACGCAUCCUAGUAUUUAAAAAAAUUCUCUGCCUUGAGUCACUAAUGGUAGCUUAGAUUAUUAGCACAGAGAUCAUUCUCAAGGUCUAAUGGGCCCUUGCUUGGUCCACUCUCUGCCAGACCUUGGGCACUGGGCAUACUUUUGUUAUUCCACCUUCAGCUUGGCGUCUGUCUGUGUCUCCACAGGCACGUUAACGCGGAAGCAAUCGGCUGAAUUCGUCCUUAGAAGUGACUAUUGCCAAGAGAUUAAUUACAUGCUGGUCAUUUUCCAGAUAACCGGUUGGUUGACUAAAGUCAGAAGUUGGAGCAAAGUGGAUUGAGUGUGUGGCUCUAAUUUCAGUUUUCCUUUUGGGGUUGCUGUUGGGUGAGCUCUUGCUCUUAUAGUCAUAUAUCCUAGAUUUUAGCGUCUGUGGCCCCUUGCUGUUUACAAAAUGCUUUCCCAUUCUUGCACUCAUUUGUUUAAUGGACAUUUGUUAAGCGCUUAUUAUGUAGAGGCUCUGUGCUGGGUGCCGGGAUACAGAAGUGACCAAGAGAUGUAAUCCCUUCCUAACAAAGCUUACAGUGCGAGCAUUCCUUCAUUCAGGCUUCAUUCCCACAUCCAGCAAAGGUUUGCAGGGUAUCUCUCAUGAACGCCGUUGAUCCCAGUGCCGAGGCUGCAGGUGAGCAAAGUUCCUGCUCUCAGGCUGCUCGCGUUCUGGAAAGAGCUAUAGAAGACCAACUACAGAAGAUGUCGGGUUGCGAUGAGAGCUAUGAAGAAAACUGGGAAUAUAGACGUUUUUAAUGAAAGAAUCGCAUUUCUUAUCUCUUUUUGGUAAGAUUAGUAAACCCAUUCUAAGGAUGUGAAUAACCAGGCCCAGGAUGCAUGUAAUUGCCCUGGUUCUGCAGGGAGCUGUCCUCAGACCCAGGAGGGGACCCAGCGCUGCGCUCCUCUGGUCCUCAGCUCUCUGCACUGACCCAUUGCCUUUCACUAUACCCUGCUCCCUUCUGCUUGGGUUCUACCAAAAUGGGGAGAUGUCCAGUUUAAAAUCUAUCUCCCACUUUCAGUAAUUCCCCCAGACCUUGACUUUAUUUCGAAGGAUUUUGUUUAUUUGUUUUUCCAGAAAGGACAACGUAAAAGUGUCGCUUCUCUUAACUUCAAUAUCCUCUCCUCUUUCCCAGAAGGGAGACCCAGCAGCGUGAAUAAAGCUCCAAAGACCCAAAACUGAUUAAUGGAGAAUGACUUCAGAGUCACUCCAUCCGCCUCGGAGGUCUAGGUGUGCCACUCUCUGCCUAUGUGACUCAUCUUUCUCCCUCCUUCCCUUCUUUCCUUUUUCAGAAACUCCCACAUCUGUAAUGUCAUUAUAACAGCAGGGUUGAGGUGAAGAUCACAUAAGGAAACACCCGCCAGCAUCCAUGAAAGUGCCCUGGGCAGAUGCCUACGAGGAAGGAAAUGGUCAUGGUGUCGUGGGAAGAACACACACUGGGGUUUGGGGGGAGGGAUGGGAGACCCUGCUGAGGGACUUUCUUCUCCAAACCUGUCUGCUCACGUCACUAUGGAGCCAGCAAGGGCAGACAGCCACGUGGCCGAGGAAUGGGGGCAGCAGCACUUCCAUCAUAAGACAGAAGACGGAAUGAAAUGGUGAUGUCAGGGCCGAGCUCUGCGCCCACCUGUGUUUCCUACGCUCCGGGCGUUCGCGAGCACCUGCAUCACAUUUGCCACAUCAGCAUUUGAAAUACUUUCAUUCACAUUUGUACUUUAGCCACAUCUAUACAAUAAGGGCCACAAAAUCACAGAGUUUAUUUCAUGCAUAUCUCAAUAUAUGUAAUCAUUCAAUAUUAAUGAUUAAAUUUUAACAUUUUUGAAUGAAUUCAAUGAACAACUAUGUAAUUAUUAAAAUACGUAAUUCCUGAAAUCCUCAUAAGCACCCCCAGAGCCACGUGGGCGACUGUCAGGUGAGCUCAUCGGAGGUCCCCAUCCCUGUCCUUCCGUGAUCCUCCCUCUGCAGCGCAUUUCCCUGGAGCUUCCUUUGUCCUUUCAAAGAUGUCAUCUCAUUUGAGCUUUAUGAUACUC
rnacentral:lncRNA from 1 species